rnacentral:rRNA from 1 species
UUGACCUCAAAUCGGGUGAGACUACCCGCUGAACUUAAGCAUAUNNNNNNNNNNNNNNNNNNNNNNNNNCAAGGAUUCCCCUAGUAACUGCGAGUGAAGCGGGAAAAGCUCAAAUUUAAAAUCUGGCGGUCUUUGGCCGUCCGAGUUGUAAUUUAGAGAAGCGUCUUCCGCGCCGGACCGUGCACAAGUCUCCUGGAAUGGAGCGUCAUAGAGGGUGAGAAUCCCGUCUUUGGCACGGAUGCCCGGUGCUUCUGUGAUGCGCUCUCGAAGAGUCGAGUUGUUUGGGAAUGCAGCUCAAAAUGGGUGGUGAACUCCAUCUAAAGCUAAAUAUUGGCGAGAGACCGAUAGCGAACAAGUACCGUGAGGGAAAGAUGAAAAGCACUUUGGAAAGAGAGUGAAACAGUACGUGAAAUUGUUGAAAGGGAAACGCUUGAAGUCAGUCGCGUCGACCGAGACUCAGCCUUGCCUUGGCUUGGUGUACUUCUCGGGCCCGACGGGUCAGCAUCAAUUUUGCCCCUCGGAUAAUGGCAAGGGAAAGGUGGCACCUUCACGGGUGUGUUAUAGUCUCCUGUCGCAUGCGAGGGGUGGGAUUGAGGAACUCAGCACGCACAUUGGUGUCGGGGCAUCUUGCCCACGUCACGUGCUUAGGAUGCUGGCGUAAUGGCUUUAAACGACCCGUCUUGAAACACGGACCAAGGAGUCCAACACGCCCGCGAGUGUUCGGGUGGAAAACCCGUGCGCGUAAUGAAAGUGAAAGUUGGGACCUCUGUCGUGGAGGGCACCGACGCCCGGACCAGACCUUCUGUGACGGAUCUGCGGUAGAGCGUGCGUGUUGGGACCCGAAAGAUGGUGAACUAUGCCUGAAUAGGGUGAAGCCAGAGGAAACUCUGGUGGAGGCUCGUAGCGAUUCUGACGUGCAAAUCGAUCGUCAAAUUUGGGUAUAGGGGCGAAAGACUAAUCG